rnacentral:rRNA from 1 species
AACGAACGCUGGCGGCAGGCCUAACACAUGCAAGUCGAACGUGAAGCCACCUUCGGGUGGUGGAAAGUGGCAGACGGGUGAGUAACGCGUGGGAACCUACCUGGUAGUACGGAAUAACUCAGAGAAAUUUGGGCUAAUGCCGUAUACGCCCCUAGGGGGAAAGAUUUAUCGCUAUCAGAUGGGCCCGCGUUGGAUUAGCUAGUUGGUGGGUAACUGCCUACCAAGGCUACGAUCCAUAGCUGGUCUGAGAGGAUGAUCAGCCACACUGGGACUGAGACACGGCCCAGACUCCUACGGGAGGCAGCAGUGGGGAAUAUUGGACAAUGGGCGCAAGCCUGAUCCAGCCAUGCCGCGUGAGUGAAGAAGGCCCUAGGGUUGUAAAGCUCUUUCACCGGUGAAGAUAAUGACGGUAACCGGAGAAGAAGCCCCGGCUAACUUCGUG